CCUACGGGCGGUAGCAGUGGGGAAUAUUGGACAAUGGGGGCAACCCUGAUCCAGCCAUGCCGCGUGUGUGAAGAAGGCCCUCGGGUUGUAAAGCACUUUCAGUGAGGAAGAACGCCUGGUGGUUAAUACCCAUCAGGAAAGACAUCACUCACAGAAGAAGCACCGGCUAACUCCGUGCCAGCAGCCGCGGUAAUACGGAGGGUGCGAGCGUUAAUCGGAAUUACUGGGCGUAAAGCGCGCGUAGGUGGCUUGAUAAGCCGGUUGUGAAAGCCCCGGGCUCAACCUGGGAACGGCAUCCGGAACUGUCAAGCUAGAGUGCAGGAGAGGAAGGUAGAAUUCCCGGUGUAGCGGUGAAAUGCGUAGAGAUCGGGAGGAAUACCAGUGGCGAAGGCGGCCUUCUGGACUGACACUGACACUGAGGUGCGAAAGCGUGGGUAGCAAACAGGAUUAGAUACCCGGGUAGUC
rnacentral:rRNA from 1 species